CAAUAGCGUAUAUUAAAGUUGUUGCAGUUAAAAAGCUCGUAGUUGGAGUUCAGAGUGAGCUCAGCCGGUCGGCCUUAUGGGUCAGAACUGGUUGACUCUCUCUUGUUUGUGGAUCCCUUCGGAGUUAACUCUUCGGAUGUGGAGUCCACAUCGUUUACCUUGAAAAAUUAGAGUGUUCAAAGCAGGCAUUCGCUUGAAUAUCUCAGCAUGGAAUAAUAGAAUAGGACUUUGGUCUUAUUUUGUUGGUUUCCGAGACCGAAGUAAUGAUUAAUAGGGACAGUUGGGGGCAUUCGUAUUUCAUUGUCAGAGGUGAAAUUCUUGGAUUUAUGAAAGACGAACUUCUGCGAAAGCAUUUGCCAAGGAUGUUUUCAUUAAUCAAGAACGAAAGUUGGAGGCUCGAAGAUGAUCAGAUACCGU
rnacentral:rRNA from 1 species